GUGAACUGCUGUUAUUCAAGAAACAUAUUUCAACAGCAUCUCCCAAACUUCAACCUCUGCUAUAUCAAAUGAGGGCAGGGAACAGCAGUAUCUGCAGCUUCUUCUCCGCAAUCACAAACUGAACUGGCUUGAAAAUGGAUCAUUGUUGCGUCUGUGGACAUAGUACCUAGAACCCUGGAAGGACUGCAGCAGACAAGGGAAGGCAGCUCAAUUCUCAAGGGCAAACAGGGAUAGGGAAUAAAUGCUGUCUUUGACAGCAAUGCUCUCAUGCUCUAAUUAAACAAAAUAGAAACAAUUUAGUCCUUUGUCUGUUUGCUAUUUGCAGGAAUUUACUGCCUUGAAGUUGGUUGCCGUCAUUGCCUAUAGGAUGCCUGUGAUAGAGAUUAAAGAGGAAACAACACAGUGUGGCAAGUCUGAUCACCUGGCUGUACUUCCACUCCAUGAGUAUAGGCAGAGGCUGAAGACUGAGGACCAGAACAGAGGACCAAGAAGGUAUGGACAAGGGAAGCACAGAACUGCUUUGAAUCGGUGGACUGGACUGUAUUCAACAUUUCAUCUUCAAAUCUGGAUGAAAAAACUGCAGAGGUCCCAGCAGUAAUGCUUUCAGAACGCCAUUGAUCACAGACCUCAAAUCAGAAUAAAACUCCUCCAACCUCCACCCUGUGUCUUCUGUUGUAGCGUGGUCGAAAUCACCGGAGAGACAGAGGCACUGCCCGAAAGGUUUCAUAGGAACGCUCUACCUUAGCGGGGGAAAUACGGGACAAGGACGGUCCCGUAUGGGACAAACCAAUUUAGCCCAAUAUACGGGAUGUCCCGGUUAAUACGGGACAGUUGGAAACCCUAAUCACAGCCCACUCUUCACCUCCUCCAAAGAGACAUGUGCACAAAAAAAAUGAAGAUAUCUGCCUGUAGAAGAGCAAGAUGGCUUUGGGAGUUCUCAGCUGUGAUGGAUUCUAAUGUCUAUGAUUCAAAUUUUCAAGGCAAUAGAAAUGUAACUGCAAGAGUUAUUAUUACUGAGUUGGUGCACAAAACCAGCGUGCACUGUAACCACCAGUGACUGUCUUGUUCAUUUCUCUUUCAAUCACAAAACCCUGUUGGACAUUGAUAAUGUAAGAUGCCACAAGCCUGGUUCCCUUGUUUGGUGGUGAAGACAGGUGAUGAGGCAGCAGCGUAGCCUUGGUUGUAGCAAGGACUAGGCCUCAAGCUGGGGGCUGGCAUCCUGCUGCAGUCCAGGUGAGAUGCUGCUGGAGGCAAUAUAACAUGGAGUACGUGCUCGGUUGGCA